UUUUAUGUCGGCGACCGGCGCACGGGUGAGUAACGCGUAUCCAACCUACCCAUAACUAAGGGAUAACCCAGCGAAAGUUGGACUAAUACCUUAUGUAUCGUUUGAUCUCAUGAGAUUACGAAUAAAGAUUUAUCGGUUAUGGAUGGGGAUGCGUCUGAUUAGCUUGUUGGCGGGGUAACGGCCCACCAAGGCAACGAUCAGUAGGGGUUCUGAGAGGAAGGUCCCCCACAUUGGAACUGAGACACGGUCCAAACUCCUACGGGAGGCAGCAGGC
rnacentral:rRNA from 1 species